GAUCAAGUACACAUACGUAAAAGUAGAGUCGAUUCCUUCUUUUUGAUCUUUACUUAUUUUUGUCAAGAAUGCGUCUACAAAGUCGUCGCCUUCCUCAACUAUC
rnacentral:snoRNA from 1 species